GACGAACGCUGGCGGCGUGCUUAACACAUGCAAGUCGAACGGAAAGGCCUGCUUUCCCUUGUGGAUUGCGGGUACUCGAGUGGCGAACGGGUGAGUAACACGUGAGUGAUCUGCCCCCAACUUGGGUGUAAGCCUGGGAAACUGGGUCUAAUUCCCGAUAGGACUGCAGGGUGGUGCCUGUGGUGGAAAACGAUUUUCUAGUGGUUGGGGAUGAGCUCGCGGCCUAUCAGCUUGUUGGUGGGGUAAUGGCCUACCAAGGCGGCGACGGGUAGCCGGCCUGAGAGGGUGGACGGCCACAUUGGGACUGAGAUACGGCCCAGACGCCUACGGGAGGCAGCAGUGGGGAAUAUUGCACAAUGGGCGGAAGCCUGAUGCAGCGACGCCGCGUGGGGGAUGACGGCCUUCGGGUUGUAAACUCCUUUCGACCGCGAGGAAGCCACCUGGUUGGAAGGGUGGUGACGGUAGUGGUAGAAGAAGCACCGGCUAACUACGUG
rnacentral:rRNA from 1 species